UACGUAGGGUCCGAGCGUUGUCCGGAAUUAUUGGGCGUAAAGAGCUCGUAGGCGGUUUGUCGCGUCUGCUGUGAAAACUGGAGGCUCAACCUCCAGCCUGCAGUGGGUACGGGCAAACUAGAGUGCGGUAGGGGAGAUUGGAAUUCCUGGUGUAGCGGUGAAAUGCGCAGAUAUCAGGAGGAACACCGAUGGCGAAGGCAGGUCUCUGGGCAUUAACUGACGCUGAGGAGCGAAAGCGUGGGGAGCGAACAGG
rnacentral:rRNA from 1 species